AUGUCCUCAUUAGUUGCUCUUCAUUGUAUUGGGGUCGGGGAUGAUUACGCCCAUGUUGUAGAUGAUUUUUCAACUCGUGGUGCUCUUGACGCGGAAGGUUGUCAACCUCAUGUUGCUCUUGUCGUGGAGGAUGUUCAUUGUCUUCAUGCUCUCGAUGAACUUGGUGGUGUUGUCGAGCCUGAGUGGGAGCUUCGCGAGCUCGAGGAGGAACUUGACGAUGCACGCGAGCUUGAAAUCUUUGUUCUUGAAUUUCUUUGCGAAGUGCUUCAUCUUGUUCACGGGCUUGACGGCUUCGGUCGGCAACGGCUCGACUCGGAUCGCGUAAAGCUUGUUGCGCCGCAAGUGCUUGAGCGUCACAGAGUUGUUGUUCUUGACGUUGUGUCUCGGCAUCUUGUGCAAGUUGGUGUAGACGUGCACGUUCUCCCUCUUCAUGUUGGCGUUGUUGUUGUCGUUCUUGUGCUAGCACAAAGGCCUCUUGAGUUUGUGAUAGAGGCGGGGGUGUCCCGAUCUCUCGAUGAGAUGAUAACUAUCGAUUUGGUGGAGACGACUUUGACGAUCCGACUACAAACAUGCACGACGUUGCGCCUUAGCAAUCGCUAA
rnacentral:rRNA from 1 species